CGUCGUUUCCCUGCAGAAGAAACGAAUGCUUCUUUUACUCCUGUUAAACGACUCUUCUCUUCCUCUUUUUCGCAAAUCUCCUCUCCUUAAAGUGUCUUCUUCUUUUCCCCUUCUUCCUACAAUCGCCCAUCGCCCAAGGAUAUUCUCUUUCCAGCUUUGCCGAUUUCAUCCAAGUUCAAUAAAAGAGUGACCUUUGGGAAAGUUGCUUCUAUAACUGUUGCACAGGCUGAAAUGAUAGAUUGAAAAAACCUGAAGCAGUUAUCAGAUGGUGUGGGUGUAAUAUUCUGUAGGUAAUACACAUAUAACAUCAUGUGUAAGAAGCCACAUGAACAUGCUACCUUAUAGAGGGCUUUACUCUUCAAUUCCAUAGCUGGAUCCAAGGCCAAGUGAUUCUGCUUUCCUGAUUGCUUCUCCGUAACAAAUAAGCGGGUUUAUAUUUAUCUUUCUAUUAUUGCUCUGUCAUGAAUUUUGCAGGUUAUGAUCUUAGUCUAUUUUUAUAUCGUUGCUCAACGGGCAAGUUCCCUCUUAACCAAUUGUACCGUUCUUUAUUUAGUUGACCUCAAUAUGUUUUAUUUAAGAAUAAUGUGAUUAUAUUGAUUUUGUUCAUGUUAAGAGAAAUGAUAUGUUUUCUCUCUUCAAUCUGAAACAAGCUUCUUAAUAAUAUUAUGGCAUAUAUUAAGGCAUUUUUACUUUGCUUAAUUCAUUGAGUUGUGUCAUGAGGCAAACGUAAUGAAGACCUAAAAAGCUUAAUCCUUUUAUAUUUGUGAAAAGGUGAUUUUGGAACUUCUUCUGGCUAAGUGACCUAUUAUAUUCUUUUCUUUUGCUUUUUGCGUUGUUGUUCCUUUCUCAUUUCUUCCUUUAGUUAUAUUUAAAAAUUCAUAGUGUGCAAGUACAAUUAACUUUUCCCCUGCCGUAGUAAUUCAUUUACUAGAUACUUAUUACUCAUUUAUGUACUAUUUUAUGGUUUCAAACUUUUCACGUUCCUCCUUAAUUGUUCAUUUACUUGGUAUCAAUUUAUGUGCUCCCUUAAAUUCUCUUUUUCUUUCUUUUGUUAAACCUAUUUGAUAACUUAAAAGGAGGUAAUGUAACGAUCAAAUGCAUCCCUCAACUUGGAAGUUCAUAUUUUUCAUUUGUUCCUUUGUAGUUUCUCUUUAUUUUUGAUAAUAGGUGAAUUUGACUAUAAUCACACCUUAAAUUAUCACCUUCUUGUG